AUUGAACGCUGGCGGCAGGCCUAACACAUGCAAGUCGAACGAGUGGCGGACGGGUGAGUAAUGUCUGGGAAACUGCCCGAUGGAGGGGGAUAACUACUGGAAACGGUAGCUAAUACCGCAUACCAUCAGAUGUGCCUAGAUGGGAUUAGCUAGUAGGUGGGGUAAUGGCUCACCUAGGCGACGAUCCCUAGCUGGUCUGAGAGGAUGACCAGCCCCACGGGACCUGAGACACGGUCCAGACUCCUACGGGGGGAGGCAGUGGGGAAUAUUGCACAAGGGGCGCAAGCCGGAUGCAGCCAUGCCGCGUGUAUGAAGAAGGCCUUCGGGUUGAAAAGUACUUUCAGCGGGGAGGCGUUACCCGCAGAAGAAGCACCGGCUAACUCCGUGCCAGCAGCCGCGGUAAUUC
rnacentral:rRNA from 1 species